UGCUACGGCCAUACCACCCUGAACGUGCCCGAUCUCGUCUGAUCUCAGAAGCUAAGCAGGGUCGGGCCUGGUUAGUACUUGGAUGGGAAGGGGUUUUUAUUCCCUCUCUGACUGGUCUUGAGUCAUUGUAC
rnacentral:rRNA from 1 species